rnacentral:lncRNA from 1 species
GGUGUUUUCAGGCGGGUGUCUUACUUUAGCUUACUCAAAAGAACACAAGAUGAACGCCACAGUCACAGAAACACUGCCAAUAAUGUCAAUGAAGAAUGAUGAUAAUGCUUAAUAAUGUGGACCUUCAACUCUGCAAGCAUUUCAUCAAGAGCAGAUUCCUUCCCCGAUGCAUUUCAAAAUAUUUCCAGUUGACCUGGUGAGGAAGUUCACAGACAUCAGCUUUCUGCUAGAGGAUCCCUCGGCUGAAGGAGCCUGCCCUGAGGAGUAACAGCCAGAGGCCAUCUGAGCUAAGCACUGCAGAAGGCUCUUGGGAGUAGAGGAGAUACCAGUGACAUGGCCUGAGUUUUAUCUGGACAUCAGAUAUAUUCACAACUCACCUGCAGCAGUCACCAUUAAGGGUCAGCCAAGCUCGUAGUUCAAUGCCACAGUGAAGAAAACAGCCCCACCCUGCCAUGAACACAUCUGAUAGACAGAUGGACUGGAGAGUGUUCUGGAAGUUAGCUAUUCACAGCAUGAGGAUAAAAACAGCUUCCAGAUGAAAUCACAGGUGUUCCAUCGAAUUCUUUUAAAAACACACCAGAAUCCGAAAAACAAAGGGAGAUCCUUAGCCCUGUCAAAAUAAGGAAAAACAUCUAGAGCGUCAUGACAGUAGAGACAGAAAAGAAAGGAACUGUAAAGUGAGUAAGACUAAUGGGUUAUUUAAUGAUUAUCCUGACUAUCUGGGGUGGGGAGCAUCUCCCUUUACUGCAGCCAUGCUGAAAAGAAGUUGAAUAACAGGGCUUAACAGCCAUCUACUGAGCUGGAGAUGGAGGCUGGCUUAAAAAUAGCCCUCCAGAAACUG